UAUAUUAUAAAGAUAAUGUUAGUAUAUUAAUUUGAUUACAUUUUUUAUAUCCACCUGAACCGAACACCGACGAUGGGAAUGAUUUAUUCCGAUUCCGAUUAAGGUGAUGAACCAAACAGAAUUAGGUAAUGAGUCAUUCCGAUUCCGAUUCCAGCUUAUUUUGAUUCCGAUUCCGAUUUCGAUUUCGACUUCGAACCAAACGCGCCCUAAAUUUCUUCAAAUUUUGAUAGCAAAUACUUUAAAGAUUAACAUUCUUGAUCUUGAAUUUAAAAGUCCUAUACUCAAAUUUUAAAGAUUAUUCAAUUUCCACCGUCCAUUUUGGCAUAAUUUAUUUACUAAGUAAACAAUGUCGAAAAAAACUAAAAUUUUAUUCCUAAGAACUUUAUAUACUUUAAAUCAUAUUUAACGGUGUGGAUUAUUAAUUUGAAUACCCUAAGAUCGAAAAUAAAACUAUAGUACCGGAGCUUCGGUACUAUAGAUAGUAUAGUAGCCUAAUUCUAUAUAUAUAAAUAUUGAGGUAGAAUAUUUUUAGAAAAACCAACCCCUUAGUACUUCUAUAUUUCUAGCCCUUGGAUCUACUCCUUGAUUACUAAUAGCCCUUGGAUUAAAUACUAUUUCACCUAUCACUACCUACUACCAUCAUCCCGACCUUACAUCUCUCCAUCCGAUGGCUAAAAACUCAAAAGCACCACCCUCUUGGUGCUUUUUGUUAGAAAAUUCUUUAAACUAUUUAAAACAAGAUUUAUACUCUUAAUCUUGAUUACAAGACUCCUAUCAUCAUUUUUUAAAAAGUAUUCAUUUUCAGCCAUUUAUUUUUCUGUUCAUUUGAUGGAUAAAAGAACAAUGUCGAAAGUGCGUGAAAUUUGAUUUCUAGGUAGUUUAAAUGGUUUAGAUCAUAUUUAACCGAGUCGAUCGUCAAUUUGAAAGCUCUAUCAUCGAAAACAAAUCGGUAGUAAAACGGCUCGUUUACUACCGAUAGUAUUCUAGCUCAACUCUAUAUAUAUAUAUAUAUAUAUAUAUAUAUAUAUAGGCUGGUAUACUAUCGGUAGCACAGAAGCCCCCGUGCUACCAAGUUGUUUUCGAUGAUGCGGCUUCCAAAUCGAUGAUCGGCUCCGUUAGACUUGAUCUACACUAUUAAAAAUAUUUGAAAACUAAAUUUCAUAAUUUUUCGCCAUCAUUUACCUAUUAAAUAAGUAGUCUAAAAAUGAACAGCUGAAAAUAAAAUCUCAUAAAAAAUGAUGAUAAAAGACUUAAAUUUUAGAUCAGAGAUACUGAUCUUACUCUAAAUAGUGAAAAAAAAUUUCUAUAAAAAUUUCAUCAGAUUUAGAUUAUUUUACACUGUUAAAUUCACAAACGCAUCACAUCUAUCAUUAAAAUUGUCAAUUUUGAGACAUUUUGAUCACUAGCCAAAUGAUGUUGAAAAAUUAUGAAAUUUAGUUUCCAAAUGCUUUUAAUAGUG
rnacentral:lncRNA from 1 species